rnacentral:rRNA from 1 species
CUGCGAUAAGUAAUGCGAAUUGCAGAAUUCAGCGAGCCAUCGAAUCUUUGAACGCACAUUGCGCCCGCCAGCAUUCUGGCGGGCAUGCCUGUCCGAGCGUCAUUUCCUCCCUCACGCAGCGCGCCUGCGUGGUGUUGGGGCGUUCUGCGGCCAGGCCUGCGCCCA